rnacentral:lncRNA from 1 species
CAAAAAUUUACUUAAUAAGUGUGUUGGCUAAAUAAAAAAGAUAGAAACAUAGCAAAAAAAAUCUUAUAGAUUCUGUAGAUGGUUAUCAUGAAAGACAAGACAUACUCUCUCUAAAUGUGCAAAGCUGUGAGGUUAUUGAUAUGUAUAUACCGAGGGAAACACACCAACUAUAAGAGGAAAACAAGUGAACAACAAGAACACUUAAGUGCAACAAAAAUAAACACCAACAUACAUAGAAACAAACUAUUUGAUAACAACUGCUGUGUUCCUGGCUUGGUACAGGACAUUUUAAGAAAAAAUGGUGGGUUGAACCUGGUUUUUAUGGCUAGCCAAACCUCCAACAAAUGGCAAUGUUAAAAAAUAUCGCUUAAAUGAAAACACUAUGUGACGACAGAAAUACAACACAAACACAUGCCAGAACACUCAUCAUAGAGAAAUACAAGAAAAACAAAUAAUAUAAAAGUC